rnacentral:rRNA from 1 species
GAUGAACGCUGGCGGCGUGCCUAAUACAUGCAAGUCGAGCGAACAGACGAGGAGCUUGCUCCUCUGACGUUAGCGGCGGACGGGUGAGUAACACGUGGAUAACCUACCUAUAAGACUGGGAUAACUACGGGAAACCGGAGCUAAUACCGGAUAAUAUAUUGAACCGCAUGGUUCAAUAGUGAAAGACGGUUUUGCUGUCACUUAUAGAUGGAUCCGCGCCGCAUUAGCUAGUUGGUAAGGUAACGGCUUACCAAGGCAAGGAUGCGUAGCCGACCUGAGAGGGUGAUCGGCCACACUGGAACUGAGAAACGGUCCCGACUCCUGCGGGAGGCAGCAGUCGGGAAUCUUACGCAAUGGGCGAGAGCCUGACGGAGCAACGCCGCGUCAGUGAUGAAGGUCUUCGGAUCGUAAAGCUCUGUUAUUAGGGAAGAACAAAUGUGUAAGUAACUAUGCACGUCUUGACGGUACCUAAUCAGAAAGCCACGGCUAACUACGUG